UACGAAGGGGGCUAGCGUUGCUCGGAAUCACUGGGCGUAAAGCGCACGUAGGCGGGUUCUUAAGUCAGAGGUGAAAUCCUGGAGCUCAACUCCAGAACUGCCUUUGAUACUGAAAGUCUUGAGUAUGGGAGAGGUGAGUGGAACUGCGAGUGUAGAGGUGAAAUUCGUAGAUAUUCGCAAGAACACCAGUGGCGAAGGCGGCUCACUGGCCCAUAACUGACGCUGAGGCACGAAAGCGUGGGGAGCAAACAGG
rnacentral:rRNA from 1 species